rnacentral:rRNA from 1 species
GACGAACGCUGGCGGCGUGCUUAACACAUGCAAGUCGAACGAUGAAGCUGGAGCUUGCUCCGGUGGAUUAGUGGCGAACGGGUGAGUAACACGUGAGCAAUCUGCCCUUCACUCUGGGAUAACUGCGGGAAACUGUAGCUAAUACCGGAUACGAGACCUUGGGGCAUCCCAGGGGUCUGGAAAGAAUUUCGGUGAAGGAUGAGCUCGCGGCCUAUCAGCUAGUUGGUGAGGUAAUGGCUCACCAAGGCGACGACGGGUAGCCGGCCUGAGAGGGUGACCGGCCACACUGGGACGGAGACACGGCCCAGACUCCGACGGGAGGCAGCAGUGGGGAAUAUUGCACAAUGGGCGAAAGCCUGAUGCAGCAACGCCGCGUGAGGGAUGAAGGCCUUCGGGUUGUAAACCUCUUUUAGUAGGGAAGAAGCGCAAGUGACGGUACCUACAGAAAAAGCACCGGCUAACUACGAGCCAGCCGCCGCCGUAA